GAUACAAACAAAUUAUGUGCCAAUACAAUACUCACUCAAUUAUUGAAUAACUCAACUUAUAGAGUUAUUAUCGUAAAUGUUGCCACUAUUUUACAUAAAAUUAGUUAAACACAAAAAAGUACUUAAAAUACCUUUAGAAAUGAUAUAUAUCUAUGGAUCUCUUUACAACUAAAAAGAGUAAAAGAUCGACACCCGUUUCGUGCGACAUUCGGCCGACGGGUUUUCGUCCUGCCUCCUCCUGCGACGCGCCUCCUCCUCCACGCAGACGCAGAGCGCCCGCCUCCCCCUCGCCCGCCUCCUCCUCCACGCACGCCUCCUCCUCGGCGCCCCCUCCUGCGACGCGCCUCCUCCUGCGGCCUCCUCCUCCACGCAGACGCAGAGCGCUCGCCUCCCCCUCGUCCGCCUCCUCCUCCACGCACGCCUCCUCCUCGGCGCCCCCUCGCCCGCCUCCUCCUCCACGCAGAGCGCCCGCCCUCGACGAAUCCUCCACGCAGAGCCCCCACGCAGAGCGCCCGCCUCCAUCCUCCUCGACGAAUCCUCCUCGGCGCUCCCUCCCAGAUCCUCCUCGACGAAUCCUCCUCGGCGCCCGCCUCCUCGACGAUCCUCGACGCCCCCUCCCAGAUCCUCCUCCACGCAGAGCCCCAUAUCAUCCUCCUCGGCGCCCCGCUCCCAAAUUCUCCUCGGCGCCCGCCUCCUCGACGAUUUCUCCUCGGCGCCCCGCUCCCAGAUCCUCCUCGACGAAUCCUCCACGCAGAGCCAACCGGUGAGCCACUACGGUGAAGCCCAUGGCCAAAUUCCAGACGCCUGCAAUAAUAGGUAGCAUGUCUAAUGUGUAUCUAGGUUAUCUACCUUUUCUAGAAUUGAGCAUUUUAAUUUUAACUCUGGUUACCAUUACCAUCAAGAAAGAGAGAUAAUCAGUAACAAAUUGUUUUUUAGGAAAAAACAAGAAAUUAAUUGAUAGAAAAUAAGUUACUUUUGGAAAUUUUGAUAGAAAAAAGCUAACUCAAUUUAUGAAAAAAGCUAAGUUCAUCUUGACUGAUGGGGAAUGAGAUGAUAAAAGUUAAGUGCUAGGCUAUUAAGUUAAGUAUGGUCUUGUUCUAACUCAACCUACCCUGGUACUUGCUUCCCUGAUUGUGCAAAUCAGUAGAUGGUUACUCAAAAAAAGAGAAGCUAUACUGUAGCUCAGUCUAAUGCAUUUCUUUUGAUUUAGUUAAUACCAAACUCAAUCUUUUCCUACUACUGCAAAGUUCUUUGUAUAGGCUUGAAUCUCAACAUAGUGUUGUAUGUAGGAACCCUUAACGUAUAAUGCUUUUGUUUUUGGAAAAAAAAUUCUAUUCUUUCUAAAAGGAAUGACCACCUUCAUGCGUUGCUACAGUAUUUUCAUUGCAGUCCAUUUUGCUGAUGGUCUUGUUUUCUGUAGUUCAAGAGGCUGAACCUGAAGAAAAAUUAUUGGAGGUGUGAAUCCUACAAAUUCAAUAUGAUGGAUCUUGGAUGUGUUGCUUUCUCAUGCAUGCAUUGGUGAAAUAAUAGCAGUAAUGUAUAUACAUUUAUUUUCCUUUUCUUUUUUGACUGAAUGGCUACUUGAAAUAUGUUAAUUCUAAAACAAGCAGUAUAGCUAUUAUGUGCUUCACAUUAUUGUAGUAUCUUUUCAGGCCUGACCAUACUACCAGAGAGCUGGAACGCCGCCACCAAGGUCCACUACCACGCCGCCAUCGAGGACCAAUGCCACAUCCGCUCAACCGUUCCUGAUACCAGGUUGGGCUGAAUAUAAUCUCACUUUUGUUUCUUUGUGAUUGUUGAUGGUAGAAGAUAAGAAGCACUCAAAUCAGUAGAGACCUAAACUUAUUUACUAAUUCAGUAGAGACAUAAGAUGUUACAUCCUGGUUAUGAUCGCUAUAGAAAUCUUUGUGUCUUUGUCGAGACAAUAUUGAUUCAUAGAUAUUUUAGUGUUUCACAGCUUAGACUAUAGUUACUAAUAAUUGGCCAAAACAAAUAGUCUGUCGAAAUACACUUGAAAACAUCAAAUGCCAUGAUCUCUUGGUAAUAAAGUGUUGUAGUUAAACAUUGUGUGCCCGUACCUUUCUACCUAUCAUGUUAUUCAAUUCUGAUGGAUCUUCUCACUGUGGUUGUUUUUUAGCAGACAACUACUAUAGGCAGUAGCAAUCAGUACAUUAAACCUGCAAUUUCUUAAUGUGGCAACUGAGUUUACACUUGCAUCUCUAGAAUGUAGUAGCUAAGCGAACAUAACGUGAUAGCCUUUGUGCUGUGGACGAUCGCUAUCCUGUACGGACUGUAUUUUUUCUCCUGAAUAAAAGGUACCCAAACCUAACUUUAGUUACGAGUGAAAGGAAAAGAGAAUGUCUGUGAAUUGGUAGCUUAGUGUUAUUAACCAAAACUCCAAUAACAUGAAUUAAAACUAUCUUUUUUUAGGUAACCAUGCUACUACUGCAAGCUAAUAGUUCUAAACAUGUGUUCCUUUAUUUAUCAGUUAUUUUCACUCGCCUAAGCUAUAUUGGUAGUUCAGUAUCAGCUAUAUUCAAUAUUUUUUAAGGAAUUUAGAUUAUUUUUGCUUCAGCGCAAUUCCCUGAAGAUUUAACAAUUUGAAGUCCUUCGAAUUCAUGCAUUCAGUGCUCUUCUUUGUCUCUUUCCACAUAUCCUGUACAAUAUAUAGCUUUACUGAUGUUAAGAGUUCAUAGGUUCAGGUUUGCAUUUAUCUAAACAUAGCUGAUCAGAUGAUGCUACCAUAUAUUUACUUAUGCACUCCUAUGUUGCAUGUGAGACUAUUGAUAUGAUUUUUUAAUAAUAAUAGAACACUUAAUUCCUUAAGUAUUUGUAGCUGAUCAACGACCUGUUCGUCCAGGAUAGAAGCAGUGGUGGUGCAGCAGCAAGGGGAUUUAAUUUAGUAAGAUGUGUUGCACACAUGUGCAUGUGGUGUAUGUGUUGUGGAUUGGCCAAAUAAAAGCUAUAGGUAUUGAAAGAAAAUAAGAGAAAAAAUUAUGGGGGGCCGAACAGACAAGGGUGCCGAAAUAGCCCCUUGAGAAAAUUAUAAUUGCCUUAAAAACUAAAAUUGUCGCCUUGCAUUUCAGAUUGGAAUUUUAGUUUUAAGUCAUUUAUAUGCUAUUCUUGCAUGUUUAGAAAAUUAAAUUAUUACUUAUAUAUUGACAGAAAAAUAUCAUAUAUCUUGAAUUCUGGAGAGCAAAAGCUACUCCCAAAAGCCAAAUCAAAGGUACCCUUAUUCUCAUGGGACUAUUUGCUAGAUGUAUUGAAUUCCCGCAAACUAAUUGCGUAUUUCCAUUUUGUACAGAUUGCAAUUUCAGUAAAGACACACAACACACAUGUACGAGUAAAGGUAAGCAAUUCAUGCAUACAACAUUGAUUUUCCAUUUAUCUUUUUUUUCAAUCUGAAAUGAACCUAUCUGACUACAGAGAAUACUAAAACUAUCUUUUAGGUGUCCACCUCCUAUGUUGACAGUGCCACCCUACUCCUCGGUGACUUCAGAUCUUGAUUGCCUGGCAGCGUCCUGGCCUGAUUGAGUGGCAAUGGUCACGUUGGCCUGCCGCUCUUAGGCCGAGGACAACAAGAAGAAAGGUGUGUCUGCCAACUGUUGUGGUGGUGUCCUGGGCUGAUUGAGUGUUGUCUGCUCCAGUCCAUUGACAUUGCCCCAAAAUCUAGCUAUGGAUGUGCAAAAUCAUCUCUCAUGUUCAGUGUUUCAGUACGACCUUGCAAUUUUUGUUGUUGUUUAUUUCAUAGCAGAUGGAGUUUAGAUUGGGUUCUUGUUAUUUUGUCUAUAGUUGUGUUUGAAUUUAGCCAAGCAAUUAAGAUCUGUACAUUCUUGACUAAGUUCCGAUAAUCUGAUGCAAGCUAAUAGAUUUUUGUUAGCAUGAUAGGUUCUUGGAAAAUCACACAAUGUGUAUUUUCUGAGCAAUAAUCAUGGCUAUUCUUACUAAGAUUUUGUACCUUUUGCCUUUCAAUAUUUUAGUCUAUCUAAUUGCAGUUUUAGAGCUGCACAUUGGAUUAGACAGAGGAGCAGAACAACAAUGAGGCAUCGGUGCGAGGGGACAACCAACAACCAGGAAGCUAGGGGUGCUUCCUCAGUCCUCACGCUGCCGAGUCGACUGCUGGUAAGUUCAUGUACCCUCCUGUCUUUGCCUUUUUCUCCCAUGGCCAUGGUGGAAUCUGCACUUUUAGCCAUGGCAAUGUGUUGCUUAUGCUGCUCUCGAAGUACUAGCAAAUAUUUUUCUUUUCAAAAUUGUGUUGAUGGAUUGUAUAUCUAUGGCAAUAAGAAAUAGCUAGAUUUUUUAACUAACACAUCCACCCAGCUGGUGUCCAGCAUUGUGAUGCUCCUGCAUCUUUGUGUCAUAGGCUCUAAUGAUGCAUUGGUGUCACGAAAAAUAGACCUAUUGCCUUCUGAUAUUUUGGUCCUAUUUAGAAUUUGUAGUAUGACCCGACUCCUAUGUUAAUAUAUGUUAGAUGUUUUAUGUUAUAAAUACAUACCUUGAUGAUUGUAAACCAUCAAUGAGAAUUUUGAUGCUUAUGCUGCUCUCGAAGUACUAGCAAAUAUUUUUCUUUUCAAAAUUGUGUUGAUGGAUUGUAUAUCUAUGGCAAUAAGAAAUAGCUAGAUUUUUUAACUAACACAUCCACCCAGCUGGUGUCCAGCAUUGUGAUGCUCCUGCAUCUUUGUGUCAUAGGCUCUAAUGAUGCAUUGGUGUCACGAAAAAUAGACCUAUUGCCUUCUGAUAUUUUGGUCCUAUUUAGAAUUUGUAGUAUGACCCGACUCCUAUGUUAAUAUAUGUUAGAUGUUUUAUGUUAUAAAUACAUACCUUGAUGAUUGUAAACCAUCAAUGAGAAUUUUUCAAGCCUUUUCCUGUGCUUAAUAUCUCAUGAAGUUUUUUCUUUCCUUGUAGGAUGGUUCAAUUUCAGAUGUCAUUGGCCUUAGAGCCCACUUAAAACAAGUCUGAUGAUGCCCUCUCAAACUUACAAACUAGACUUACUUGACCAUGUACGUUUAUGACUGUGCAUCUUAGAUUGCCUCAUAUAUUGUAUUAAUUCGAAGGUGAACUGAAUGACAUAUCUCUAAACAACCUUACGUGUUGAUGGUAGAUUUUUAAUCAUUGGUUUCUAAGGUGGUGCUUAGUAAAGUGAAGUAUAAGUUGUACUUGCAAGACAUUUGACCAUACAAAGUAUUUCAGUUACCCAUGACACUGCUUAAUCGAAGCUAUAAUGCAUAUAAGAUAUUUCUUUCACAGUAUUUUUUUUAAAACUUUCUUUCACAAUAUUGUUAUUUUAUCGUGCGACCCGUGUGUUUUUAGUAUAAAAUGUUAGUUAUCCCGUAGCAACGUACGGACACGCUACCUAGUACAUAUAUUAAGUACACAAUUUGUUCGCAUAAUACAGACCAACUGUCUUUGCAAUAAACAUGGGAGCGAGAGACUUAUAAUUUUUCAUGCACGUGCGGUGGUAUAUGCGGUGCGGCACACUUGAGCUUUGUGAGUUUCAUUGCGUCGAAAUCACCACGAAUUUUGGAGACUUGCAGAGCAGACUAUGCGCUAUGUUAUUCCUCGCAGAAAAGAAGAAGACUAUCCUAUGUUAGCCCCCCCUUUUUUUUUUUACGAAAACUAUGUUAGCCUUAAUUAAAUAGAUUGGAGUAUGCAUGGAAAUGCUUCUUUUGAGGAUUACUAGACUUUUACUAAAAUGGAUGGUGUUGUGCCCUACCAACAAGAAGGAUUUACUGAUGGAGUAGUAUAUCCACAAGAUCAAAUAUGCAGGCGGCAGGCAAGACCCUCUGGCUCCCUUUUGUGAACCGGCCUGAAGUUUCACAGAAGUGAGGUUGACGAGUCGAUUUGGAUGCCCAUGUAUCAUGAAGACCAAACUUUUUCUUGGCUAGAUGCAUCGUCCUGGUGGACACCUUUUGGCUUGUUAAACUGAUGUGCCAUAAGGAUUUAUGGUCUUUCGAUAUUGUGCCUUGUUUAGUGGUAUUUUUUUUUUACAAAAUAAACACUAUAGUAUUUUUGUUUAUAUUUAAACAAUAUUUUUUAAUCAUGGACUAACUAAGUCUAAAAGAUCCGUCUUAUAAAUUAUAGGUAAAUUUUAUUAUCUAUGUUUAAUGUUCAAUGCAUAUGUCGUAAGAUUUAAUAUGACGGAAAAUCUUAAAAAAUUUUGCAAAUUAUUUCUUGAGAAGUAAACAAGGCUUUAUUUGAAAGGUUGUUAGGGCGAAAUGCCCUUAAACUCUAAAUAGAUUGGAGUAAAAGAAAAAACGGGGUUAGAACGAGCACAACACUGCUAUACGAGACUAGGGCCUUGUUUAGUUCCGAAAAGUAAAAAAUUUUCGAUACUGUAGCACUUUCGUUUGUUUGUGACAAAUAUUAUCGAAUUAUGAAUUAACUAGGAUCAAAAGAUUCGUCUCGUGAUUUACAGCUAAACUGUGUAAUUAGUUUUUGUUUUCGUCUAUAUUUAAUGUUUCAUGCAUGUGCCACAAGAUUCGAUGUGACGAGGAAUCUUGAAAACUUUUUGAUUUUUAGAGUGAACUAAACAAGGUCUAGCUAGAAAAAUACUAAGAGAUCACCACUACGUACAUAGUAGGCCAGUCGUCCAUCGUGAAUGUACGGUGGUUGACAGUUUCGAUAGCUCAAGCGAACAGAGUCGUUACGUAUUCCAUCAGGCUGUGCUAGCGUCGACCGACAUGGGACUCUGUGGUGUGGGUCGCCGUUUCAUCCUGCUUCCUUUGCUCCCAACCAACUUCGUUGACCACCGGUUGGUUUGUUGAUGAUAUUCGCACGCGGCGUGGCGUCGGCAACGGGACACGUACCAUUGCGGUCACAAUGUUGACCACACGACGACAUGACUGUCUACUUUCGUGUUCCUGUUCAGGCCUCGUUUAGUUGUGAAAAUUUUUCGGAUUUUGACAAUAUACUACUUUCGUUUGUUUGUGGUAAAUAUUGUCUAAUCAUAGAGUAAUUUAGAUCAAAAGAUUCGUCUCGUGAUUUAUAGGCAAAUUGUUUAAUUAGUUUUUAUUUUCGUCUAUAUUUAAUGCUCCAUACAUGCGCCGCAAGAUUCGAUAUGACGAGGAAUCUUAAAAUGUUUUUGGUUUUUUUGGUAAACUAAACAAGGCUAAGGGUCACUCCGGCAGCUAAAAUUUGUCAGCCACAGACAAAAGCCUGUUGUAUAGUUGCUCGCCUCGUGACGCAGCCACCACAGUUUCUACAAUAUGCACCGUUCCGGGGCUGGUGUGGCGGCUAAAAUGCUCACCACACAAUGUGGCGCGUGCGGGCUCCGCUCUUGUGGCAGGGUACGGCUAGCGUUCAAACAUUUCCUUGUUAAAUUUAUCAUAAAAACCAAACAAAAUUUAAGAUUCUUUGUUAAAUCGAAUCUUGCGAUACAUGUAUAAAAUAUUAAAUAUAGAUAAAAAUAAAAACUAAUUGCAUAGUUUGUUUGUAAAUCACGAGAUAAAUUUUUUGAGCCUAGUUAAUUCAUAAUUGGAUAAUAAUUACUAAAUAAAAACAAAAGUGCUAUAUAAUGCUCCAAAACCCGAAUUUUUUGAACUAAACAAGGCCUACGGAAAUCGCCACCGGAAUGUGCCUUGUGCAACACGGCACGUACGUAUCACGUAGUAUGCCUACACACCGAGAAUCGUACGUACUACUGUAGUAGACUCUGCAACAACGGUCCAAGAAAAUUGGACGUACUACACUGCGCACAUGCACGACACGUGCUAUCGGAAAGCGUACGAGUCCAAAACCGAUAAUACAUAAGGGCCCGAGUGUAAAUUCAGCUGGGAGCUACCGACGGCUGCACGGCAAGGAUGUGCAGUUGUGUGUUGUGUAAUGGCAACAGCCACCCAACACCAAACCAUAUUUAAUCUACUGCUGUCGUUACUAUUUGCAUCAUCCCGCGUCACACGCCUGUGUCCACAUCCUGCUCCAUGAAAAAUUUAUUUGAAUUUAGGUCUUGUUUAGAUCUUAAAAGUUUUUUGAAUUUUCACACUAUAGCACUUUUGUUUUUAUUUGACAAACAUUAUUCAAUCAUAAAGCAGUAACUAGGCUUAAACGAUUCGUCUCGCGAUUUACAGAUAAAUUGUGUAAUUAGUUUUUAUUUUUCAUCUAUAUUUAAUGUUUCAUGCAUAUGCUGUGAGAUUUGAUGUGAAGAGAAAUCUUAAAAAGUUUUUGGUUUUUAGAUGAAUAACAAGCCCUUAAACCUCACAGUGAUAUACAGCCACAUGCCCACAUCUGUCACUGUCACCACUGAUGACCUGUUUGGAACAAAGAAUUUUCGGAGGAAUUUUGGAGUCCCUAGUUCCUUUGGAAACGAUCAGGUGAAUGAAUCACAAAUGCACGGGGAAAACUGCAAACGAACCUUGAUUUGUCUGCCACUAGUCGUCGAUCGUGCAUUUGAAUGUUGAAACACGCGAAAUGUUUUCCCGUGUUGCCUUGCCUUGAUGAGGCAUUGUUUAGGCCUUGUUUAGUUCCAAAAUAUUUUGCAAAAUGGACACUGUAGCUUUUUCGUUUGUAUUUGACAAAUAUUGUCCAAUCAUGGACUAACUAGGCUCAAAAGAUUUGUCUCGUCAAUUCCGACCAAACUGUGCAAUUAGUUUUUAUUUUUAUCUAUAUUUAGUACUUCAUGCAUGUGUCUAAAGAUUCGAUGUGACGGGGAAUCUGAAAAAUUUUGCAAAUUUUUUUGAGAACUAAACAAGGCCUAGUUCGAAAAAAAUUUCAAGAUUCUCCGUCACAUCAAAUCUUUGAUCGUAUGCAUUGAGCAUUAAAUAUAGACGAAAAUAAAAACUAAUUGCACAGUUUACCUGUAAUUUGUGAGAUGAAUCUUUUGAGCCUAGUUACUCCAUAAUUGGACAAUGUUUGUUAAAUAAAAACCGAAAGUGCUACAGUAGCCAAAAACUGAAAUUUUUGCAAACUAAACAAGGCCGAAGCUUCCACUGCAAGAAGUGACCUACCCUUACCCUUCAUUCCAAUUGUACCAUACAUUCAAAGUUCCACACAUGCCAAUUGGAAAAAGACAUACAAUCUCUCCUAGUAUGUCCCAAACAAAAAAGAAAAUGCAUUACGUUGGCCCUAAUACAAGUUAGUAUAUUUUUACAUGAAAGUGACAUCCUUGUUUAGUAGGUAAAUUUUUUUGGAUUUUGAUACUGCCACUUUCGGUUGUAUUUGAUAAUUAUUGUCCAACUAUUGACUAACUAGGUUCAAAAAAUCGUCUCGCAAAUUACAGACAAACUGUACAAUUAGUUAUUUUUUAUCUAUAUUUAAUAUUUUAUGUACGGGUUCAAAGACUCGAUGUGACAGAGAAUUUUGAAAAAAUUUUGGAACUAAACAAGGCAAAAAAAAAAGAAAUUGGUUGGCACGGUCAAUAUUGAUAAUGACAUCUCACCUCUCUUGCUUUGCGAACCCACACGUUUGUACACCCCCGAGAUAGAUAAACAAUGCAAAAGAACUCGUGCGUAACAAAACAAUGACCCCACUGUCAGUUGGAGUCGGAAGCAAGAUAUUUCAUGAAAGGUCCUUCACAACCCUUGCUUUAUUUUAAUCUAUCUACUACUCCAGUAAUAGCUCACUAGUCACUACCACCCACACACACAGAUACAUACAUACAGAGCCACAUCAUGCAUAGUAUAGGUCCAGCAGUGUCACAAUCUCCAUCAAAAUCAAUUCUUUUUCAGAGACAAAUUUCCAUAUUACACUAACCACUGCCACUUUUCAUAGGUCACCCUUGUACCACAUCACCACACUAGUUACAGGCCGAGCUGAGUAGUGCAACCACACACCGUCCUUGCUCUCACACGGUUGAGCCAUUGAGCUGCGUCAAGGCGAACCCAUGGCGACGCCGCCGGAGGAACCGCUGCCGCUGCCGCUGCCGCUGCCAAAGCCGCCAGAGCCAAAGCCGCCGAAGCCCAAGCCGAAGGGGCCGGACGAUCCCGAGCCAGAGCCGCCGAAGCCCAAGCCAGUAGGGCCGUUGCCUCAGCGGGACGGGGUCGGGGACCCCGGCAGCGGCGUCGUCGCCACGUCCCCGCCGGCGGACCUCCUCUGCGCCGACACCUGCUCCGGCGCAUGCGCGUACUUACCGCACUGCCAGCCGCCGCCUCCCGCAUCGUCGUCGCGCGGGACCACCUUGCACCUCCGCUCGAGCCGGCUGCCGACACCGCUCAUCGCGCUCUCGGCGUCGCUCCUCGCCGUCUCCGCGGUCCUCCUGCUCGCGCUGCUCGUCCACCGCCUCGUGGCUCGGCGGAGGCGGGCGCGGAACGCGGCGCUGGUGGCUCACCACGGUCACGGCGAGGAGGGUGGUGGCCACCAGGUGCUGGCUGGCGCGGUGGCGGGCGGCGGCGGCGAGGAGGAGGACGAGGAGGAGGCCGACGGCGGCGGCGGCGGCGUGCACCACGUGUGGUAUAUACGGACCAAGGGCCUCGACGAGCGCGCUAUAGCGGCCAUCGCCGCGGUGGUGUACGACGCCAAGCAGCGCGGCGCCCUCGGCCUCGGCGGCCACGGAGGGACCGACGGCGACGGCGACGGCGGCAGCUGCGCGGUGUGCCUCGCGGAGUUCCGGGACGGCGAGACGCUGCGCCUGCUGCCGCGGUGCGGCCACGCGUUCCACCGCGGGUGCAUCGACACCUGGCUCCGCGCCCACGUCAACUGCCCGCUCUGCCGCGCGCCCGUCCAGGUCUCCCUCGCCGCCGCUGCCGACAAUCCUAACGCCGCGCCGGGCGCGCCCACGGCCACGUCGGGGGGCCGACAGCGGCAGGAGAGGAAUCUUGUUGGCGCCGCCGUCGGUGCCGUUCAGGCGACAGAGGAGACCGCGCGCGGCGGCGUGCCAGACCGCGCCGUCAGGCGGGCCGCGUCCAUGGUGGCGCUGCCGCGGCGGGCGUGGCCGGACGUCUCGCUGCGGGCGCCGGCGUCGAGCAGCGGCCGCGAGGAGGACAUGACGGGGCUCGGCAAGAUCAGCCGGCUUCUCAAGUUCUCGGACGCGCUGGAGAUGGCCGGAAUCGGGGUCGAGCGGUCGGUCUCGUUUGGCGCCGGGAGCUGCCAGCGCUUGCCGACAAGGUCGGGGCCCUCGGCCGCCGCCGCCGGCGUCAGCGCUGACGAGACGUCACAGUGAACUCGUUGAUGCCGAGUUGCCGACGAUGAGGCGAUUGGGUAAAAAUUGCAGCUUUGGGAGUUGGGAGCUUGGAGGGGUGAAGGUUGGUGUUUGGUUUUUUGCGAAAGUUUUGUGUGCCACAUGAUGGGAAGAUAAAAGUGUCAUCUUUCCAAGUUUCGUGUAUAAUCAAUCACAAGUAACUCGUGAGUUUGUGCAUAUACUUGGGAGCGUCAGAAAUUGUAAAUAAGAAUUCCUGACAAACAAGUUUAAGUUUUGUAUGCGAAAUCACAGUACGCAUACAUGUGUAAGAUAUAACAUAUCACUUCUGUUCGUUCAGUACUUGUUCGUUUGGCUGAUAAGACUGAUUUGUUGUGAGAAAAGAAUACUGUUGAAUGACUGAUUAAUUCGGCUGAUAAGUUCAAGCGAACAAUGAGACAUUUGUUGCUAAAAUUUGGCCGCCUGAUCUCUAGUUUCUCUGUAUCCAUCAUGACCCACAAUGACCUUUAUUUAAAGUCUUGUAUGUCUAUGAUCUUUAAGCUGCUGCUGCCUGCAGGAAUAAGGACCAAACAUCAGUCUCAAAUUCUCAAUAUAGUUGAGAUUCAGGUGAAGAGUCUUCACACACAAUUGGCCACAUAAACUUUGAAGGAGUGAAUAACUUGUGGAUCAUGCCAAUUGCCAGCUAAGGAAUUUGUUCUGUUCCCAUCCCAAUCCAGAAUGAAUGGAUGCUUGCUAUCCCAAAUCCCAACCCCAUUCACCAAAAGUAAAACCCGAGCAUUGCCUUGCACCUGAAGGCCUUGUUAAAUUUGCCUGCCGAGGUCAGGAUUCUGGACAAGCCAUCUCACCUGCCCUUGCUUGCCAUGUCUCUGUCAGGGCACUAACACCUCAUUAAAAACGAUGCUUCUGUUUGAAACGCUAAUGGUGUGAGGUUAAAGUAGGCAGGGUUGGCAGUUCUGCCCGGUCGCCUCUCAAGGCAGUGUGACAUCAAUUGUUUGGACCGGGCGGUUGUUGCAGGUCGUUGUUGGUCAUCAAAUGCGAUGUGGAUACUGCAGUGUGCCUCUGCUGCUGUCUGUGUGUGAAGCUUCCAGGAUAGAGUAAUCACCUUGAACUUUUUGGCGUCGGGGGUGCAGAAAUGACAUUCUCUUUUUUUUUGGUAUACCUCUGACGAUUCUUGUAGGGCCUUGUUUAGUUCCGAAAAGAUUUCGGUACUGUAGUAUUUUCGUUUUUAUUUGACAAAUAUUAUUCAAUUAUAGACUAACUAGGCUCAAAAGAUUCAUCUCGUGAUUUAAAAGCAAACUGUGUAAUUAAUUUUUGUUUUCAUCUAUAUUUAAUGCUUCAUGCAUGUACCGCAAAAUUCGAUGUGAUGAAAAAUCUUGAAAACUUUUUAAAUUUCGGUGGAAACUAAACUGGCCUAGGUUCAUAUCAGGAUAAGGUCAUGCACACCGGCACACCGCACAUCUUGACCCUUUUGAGAUGUCCGUUCUUGAAGCAACCUUUUGGUCUCACUGCUUCAGAUCAUUCAAAUGUAUCGUCUGUCUGAGCGUAGGGGUAGCGAACAAAGGUGACACCUUUGAGUUCAGCAAACAUAUCAUCGUAGAACAAGAAAGCGACACAAACCGAGCAUAGUGUCACAACUCACAACACAAAAGAUAUCUGCAUUUUUCAAAUAUUUUUUGUACAGAUUUAAUACACAUACAUAUUGAAUUGUUUUCGCAUACAAAAUAAAUUGUUUCUGAACUCUCUAUAUUGGACUCUUGAGACAAUCUCCUUGCAAUUCAUAAGUGCAGCAUGAAGAAACAUUGUUACAGAUGACUAUCACUUGCGGCCAUCAACUUACAAAACUUUGACAACAUACCCUUUUUACUACAGACAUGACAGGGCUCAAUGCCUUUUGCUGUAUAGUUGUCCUUGAGAAAAUAAUGAAGUCGACCUAGAAGUCCAAAAAUUUUUCAAUCUCUGAAGCAAAAUUGCAGUAGAGUUGAUCAGUCAGGGCUGAACAUAAAUCUAUCUCAACGCGGCAACAUUGCCAAGAUGUCUUCUUUGUGCUGCAUACAGUAGUACACCAAAAUUGCAAGAAUAAUAACUAGUAGCAUGGGCCAUAUGCUUGUUCCUGUCAUGACACAACCAUCCAUUUUUAGUAUAGGGCUUGCGGUUAGUGGCUGGAAAAAACAAAUCUAUGAAUUAAAGAUGCAACAUACCAUUACUCUUCGGGGACCCAACAGAUGUCACCCUUGCAGAAGAGUCAAAGGAAGUUGACAGCAAUGUUCUGAAAUGAUAUAAAGCAACUACAUUGAGAAAUUGCAUUUUUUUUUCUUUAGAUUCGUCAACUCGAAGUUCAAGAUAAUAACCUUGAAUCCUGGGAGAAGGCCAGUGUAGUAACAAUACCAAGAUGAGCCUUUUUAACUGUUACAAGUGUCCGCAUGUCUUUUGAGCUCAGUAUGAUGAUGCUUCCUUCAAUUGUUCCACUAGAAACCGAAGGCAGACAAAUAAAAUUUUCAAGAAAAUAAGCAAUGGUAUCUCUACAAGAUUAUUAAGAAAUAAGACCAAGGGGAUCUUUCCAAUCUCACAUUCCAAGAAGAGCGCCGUUGGGUGACACAGCAAAAGCUGAAAUGGCCUCACGAGUUAUUUUCUUUGAACCGAUUCUCGUCCAUGAGGUAGUAUUCCAAGAUACUAUUUUUCCAUAAUCACCUAAAAAGCAAUAUUAUUCAGGUAUUGUCAGACCUUAAGCUUGCUGUCUAGUUCAAUUUGUAACUAGGUCAAGUACUCAAGUUCAUCUUAAUGCCAACCUUGCAUCACUGUUAUAAAUAGGACAUGACUGUUGUCAGUCUUAUUACAGAAUCUGCAGAAUCCAAAUAUUUCCCCCUGAAAAUGUACAGAUCAAAACUCUCUUGAAACAAGACAAAAUCAUUAAAAUAAUGCAUUUCGUCCAAGAAAGGAACUCACUGCUUCUCUUGACAGACUGGCUACAACUUCAGAUGACUGCAGAUCCCAAACUCUACAUGGCCCGCUGCUCCUAUUCACAGCAAGAAACUUCUCAUCGGAACUGAAAGCAUGGACCAAAGCAGAGGAACCCAUCAGUAUCGUGCAAACAAUAUUCAAGUGGGAAGAGUUUAGUGAUCAUUUAUUUACCUGAUGGUAAGAUCCUUAAUCGAUGUUUUAGUAUCAGUUUCUGUGAGAACAGACCCCAUAGCAGGCCACUUGAAGACUCUUAAAUGCCCAUCCUACAAAAGGAAAGAAAGAAAUGAACAUGUCAAUAACCAUAAGAUUUCAGUGCCAUAACAGAAAGACCAAGAGAACCAGGAAAAUCACAUAUGAACCAUGACAAAACCUCAAAGCACAAAUGCAAGACCAUACUGAAAAGUUAUCUACUUAAAUGGAGGCAAACCAGAUUUGUCUUUUUAUUAUAAUGUAAAGCAAGAAUAAAUAUAAGUGCUCAAAGACUGUUCUGCCAGAAGGAAAUGACUAUUAAGAAGUCAACAAUGGAUAAAACCUAUUGAAACUGAUAAGCACAUCUUUGGUUUUAACGGUAAAUUAAGGUGAUGGCACAAACAUGUAUAAAACAAGAACAUAUCAUAAAAAGUGCAUCUCAAGAACUACUUAAUGUGGAUAGCUGGUCCUAGAUCCCUAUGUCCUUGGUUGUCUGAGGCGGCUGGUCGUGUUUCCCCAGUAUAUUUUCUAGAGUGUUGUUUUUUCUAAACCCCGUGGGGAUGCCUGGGAGGGGGUUUCUUACUUCCCUCCCUUGUGUCAUUUUAUUCUUCUUAAUGAAAUGGCAUGCAGCUCUCGCACGUAAUUCAAGGGGGAAAAAGAACUACUUAAUGUUGUUUGAUAUCUCCAUAUGUAAAGACAUAAAGUAAAAAAUAAUUUCAUUCAAAACUACACUGGCUGUACUUUCUAGCCAAAGAUUUCUGUACCAUGUCGACCAUGAAACAAGAAUCCCUUUGCCCAACAUAAACAAUAUACACCAACCUUAGGUACUCAGUAUCAGAAUCCCCCAUACAUAAUAUUGUAGCAAAUGAUUAUUAAGUUGACAAAAUGAGCAAAUUGUUUGGCUACAUUAGUCGGUACUAACAAAUGUUGCUUAUGAUGACCAUAGUCUAUACAAUUUUUCUGCAUGAAGCAAUGAAAGAUAAUAUUUUUAGUACACCUAGAAAUUACUAAGCUAACAUAUCUUUCUAAGGCAUUUUUUUCCAUUUAUGAUGUCAGACUCAGAAGAACAAAUAAAGUUGAAAGUUACUUAAAUGCAUUCCAAACUAGGUACUCGAAGUGCCUAUAGUUUUCCCUAUGGAAAAUGUCAAAUAGGAAAGGAAAUAAAAAGAAGGUAAAUACUAAACCUACCGAGAGUUACAAAAAGUAAAAUGCAAUGGAAAAGUACGCCAUAUGUUAACUUACCUCACCACCAAUGGCAAGUAUUGAACCUUCUCCACUGAAGGAUACGGCCAACUGCAAACCAACAUCUUUCAGCUCCGCUAAAGCUUCCUGGUCUGGCUCCAAGGCCAGGUUCUGUGGUCCCUCUCCUUCCUGUGAUUCCCAUCGGUACAACCUACAUGAGUGUUUUCGUAGUUAAAAAUUAUGAAAAAAAACAAACUUUUCAGCCAAGUUCAAUUAUUUAUUGUUCACAGGAAUACAAAACAAUGCAGCAUUAUCUUGUUGUAGAAUAUAAGAUGAUGGCAAAGCAUAUAAGGUACAUUUUGUAGCUGAUACUUUCUGAACCAGAAACACAUCUAUACUAACAAGUAACAACUAAGAAAUCUCAAAGUAUACUUCAUGUUAGACCACAAAAACCAGAUUGUAAGGGAUUUAAUUACUCCUACUAAGGAAACAGAAAAUAAUCAAGCACGCCCAAAAUACCACCUUUUACUAGCAAGUAUCAACAGUAGAUAAGCUAUCUUCUUGAAUAUCAUGGCUUCGGCUACUAUAUACAAGACAAUUCACAAAUACCUUCGCUUCAGGUCAUGUCACUUGUUACUAGCAAGAUUCCACAUUAGAUGUUAUCUUCGCAGAUGGAGUAGUUUAUAUUGAAUACCACCCAUUAUCUAGACUAGACAAUGAAUGGAGGCGACAAAUGACAUUCGGAUCAUUUGUGCAUAUCAGAAUACAGAACCAACCAAUACAUUAGCACGCAGCGCAGGGUACAAACCCAAAGGAUAUGAUCCGAGGGGGUGAGGGUGCAUACCUGCAGCCGUUGGGGAAAGCGCAGAACACGCCAUCGCCGCGCGGGUGUACAGCCAUUCUGUACGGCACCUCCUCUUGGGUCUUCACCUCAAGCACCUGCCCACCACCACGGAAUGCCGAAAUCAGCACGAGACACUGAGCCCCACCCUAGAUCGGAGCGGGAUCUGGGAGGACGGAUCGCUCACCGUCUCGGGGGAAAGGGCGGCCGGCGCGGCGGCCUCUUCCCCGGCGGCGAGGGCCGCCACCACGAGCUUGUUCGGCACCCCGCUCCGGCCCUCCCCGCCGCCGCCCCCGAGGACAGCCAUAGGGGGCGGGGGAGAGGAGGGGGAGGAGGAGGCAGCAUCCGCGUCCGCGUCCGCGUCCGCCUCGGCGGCGGGAGGGUCGGGCUUGAGGAUGUGGGCGAGCGGGAGCCAGGCGGCGCAGUAGAUCGGGAAGCCGUAGGACUGGCUACCGCCGCCGCCGCGAGUCGCCAUCGCGCGGAGAAAGGUGGGGGUGAGGAGCGCCCGGGUGCCGGAGGGGAGGUGGGCCGGUGGCGGUCGCAGUCGCGGUGGCCGCCGGUGGGGACGCGCGGCGGACGGUGGAGGGGAGAGCGUGGCUGGUGACGGGAAUAUUAACGCGGCUGUGUAAAGUUCCGUUUGGGUGGGUUGACCACUUGACCUCGAGAAGAGAUGGGUUUUCUUCGCUUCAAAGUUGGGCCGUAUAAUCGAGGAUCUUUUGGUCAAAACUAUAAAAAAAAAUGUAAGAAGGGACGGUAUGAUUCGUAUAAUCGAGUUUUGUUGUAAUAAAAAAAAAUUAUAAUGUACUAGGAUCAUCAACCUGUCAUGUAUACUGGUGAGGUGUACAGAUUCUCUAUAAAUCACCUAUUUUAUUAUUAAGUAGUGCACCACACAUUCAUGUUACUUCAUCAAUGUUUAAUCUCUCUCUCAUUUAUUUUUUCAUAAAAUAUAACUUUUUUUCUUAUGCUACGGCAAGAAGCAUAAAUUGUUGAAAUUUGACUGCACAAAGAUGAGAGAUUUUACAAGUUGACACAUUUUAGCCUUGUCUUGCCUACCACUUCUGCACCCUGUAGGUGCUCUUGCACCAUUGCCACUCUUGCUCCCACACACCUCCACAAAAUGGGGACCGCCAUAGCCACCGCUCCCAUUGCCAUCCUAAGUCCAGGGGCGCAAGUGAUAUUGAUUGACUAAUCCCAGCUUAUCCUCAUAAAUGUCUAUAGUUGAUGGUUGCCGCAUUGUGUCUAUGGUGAUCGGUGAAGACAUCUUUCUUUUGUCGUGGAGAUGUUCACCUCGUUUUUACCUAUUUGCAUGGUCGGGCUCCUAGUCACGUUGUUGGUCCUCGUCUGUUGUCUAUUAUGUUGGGCAUUUCCUCUUUUCUUGACCUCUACCUCCACCGUUAUCAUAGAGUCCCUCCUCAUCCUUUGUAGGGACACUAGGACAUGGACCAUAUGUUUAUCAUUAGGCUUAUAAUAGAUGUAUUUGUAUGGUAAAUGUAUGAGUACAUCUUUUUUUUUUUAGGAAACUGAAAGGGCCAAGGCUUCUACGUAUGAGACCUCUAUCUAAAUUAAUGUGUGGAGAAUUUUUCAAACUCGUUUUUAUUCGCAAAAUGCACUUGUGCCACUCUGUUUGCUUGAGCUUAUCUGCUGAAUCUGCCAGCCAUUCAGCAGUAUUUUUCUCUUAUAAUAAAUCAGCGAACAACACUUUCAGUAAUGACUUUUCAAACAAACGAACAAGCUUGAACCAAGUGGCAUGAUCGUGGGCAGCGCGUGCGCUCGGUAAACAGUUUUUUUUUCAUUCUCACUAGUACUUUGAGCCUUCAUGAUAUGCCAAUGCUUUUGACGGCAUUAAAAAAGGGUAUAUGGAUUUAUUACAAUGUACAUACAUAUUUACUAGUAAUAAAUACUUAUAAACGUAAGAAAGUGCAUGUGUACAUGAUUUGUGCGUGAAAAAGUUCUUGCUUUGAAAAUUUAUUUUGCACGACAAUAGUUUGACGUUAAUUUCAUCCAACUAGUCAGAUCGGACGGUUGACAUUCACUGUUGCAAUCGCAAAAGUCCAUACGGCCCGGCCGCCCCCAAACAAAACCUCACCCUUCUCUUAUCCGCCGCAACGGCCGCCCGCCGGCCACCACCUCCACACCCCCCCUCACCGGCGAGAUGCUGACCUGCGGCCGCUUCAUCUCCUCCUCCGCUGCUACCAGCACCGCAUCCUUCUCGCCGUUUCGGACUCUCACCCGCUCCCUCCUUCGCCGCCCCGCUCCCCGCCUCCUCUCCUCUGCCUCCGCCGCCGCCGCCGCCGCCACCGCCGUCGAACCCGACACCAAAGGUAAUAGAUUUAACCUUCACUCUUCAUCUCAACGACGUACAGUUAUCUAAGCUUCCGUUUUUCCUUUCAGGCGGCGGUGGCGCGGGAGGUGCUGCUGCUGCGGUGAGGCCGCAGUGGAAGGCGGCGAUUGAUUUCAAAUGGAUCCGGGAUAACAGGGACGCCGUGGCCGACAAUAUCCGGAGCCGGAACUCCACCGCCAAUCUGGACCUCGUCCUCGAGCUCUACGACCAAUACCUCGCACUGCAGAAGGUCUGGGGCUUGCCAAUGCCGGAGCUUUUUGUUGAAGCUGUUUUUGCUGUCUGACUGUGCUGCGCUAGAUUCGUUGAUGAUAAGCUUGCGCUGUAUAGGGUCAGGUUCUAGUGCGUGGAUUUUGACUUGUGCGGCCCAGGGGUAUGUACUAGAUGGUUGCUCUUUGCUAGGAUUUUCCUCUGAGCUUAUAUUUGAACUGUAGUUUUAGAUGUCCUAUAAUAUGACUGAUGAACUGGCACGGUUUUAUUUCAUUAAGUAUCUAGUUGGCGUGGCUGUUGCGUCUCCUGUAUUUGUCUUGGCAACAGAAGUUUGAAACAGAACUCAAAAGGCUGAACAUGGAUCAGGAAUUCAGGAUAGGAUAUUUGUAAUAUGAUUCAGGUUCUUUUGUCCAUUGAAUUUCCAUUCAAUCAUACAACACCUGAGUUGCAUGCAGAUCCAAUGUUCACAAAAAAUGACUUACAGUACAUUUGAAGAAAUCAAUUGCCCAUGAAAGUCAAAUCUACGAAUUCAUACAGACCCUGUACUUUUUAUGGAGCUCUCUUUCAGAUAUACCUUGUUCUGCAUUACAUUCGGCAACUAUUGAAUUGCAGUGAACGUGUAUAUAUUCUUUCAAUCUUUAGUUGGUUUUGGUUGGCCUUUAACUGUUUUCAGACUGUGCUCUUAGCAAUUUAUCAUUCAUGAUAACAAAGCUAAGUUGCAAAUUUUUUAUGAUCCUUAUGAUUCUUGUUCAUGUGGUGCACACCUGCCCCUUUAAAUGGUUCAUUCUAAACUGCUUAAGACAUGUGCGAUAGUUAGAUACAGUAGCUGUCUAUAUAUGCACUUGAUGAACACAAUUUAUUCAGUUCCAGAAUGUAAUAUGGUGGUAACAGAACGAUGGCAACAAUUCCUAAUUAUGACAGAUGGCAGGAGGUUGAACGGCUCCGAGCUGAAAGAAAUGCAGUUGCUAACAAGAUGAAAGGGAAACUAGACCCAUCUGUACGCCAAGCCCUUGUCGAAGAAGGUAGAAUGAGUAGUUUAUUCAAGCAUGGAGAUAAGGAUUUACCACUAUAUUUGUUUUAACCAUUUUGAGUUACUACAGGUAAGAACCUGAAAGAGGGGCUUAUAGCACUUGAGGAGGAUCUUGUUCAGCUGACAGAUAAGCUUCAACUUGAAGCUCAAAGUAUUCCUAACACUACCCAUCCCGAUGUUCCUGUUGGGGGUGAGGAAAGCUCUGUCCUCAGGAAAGAGGUAAGUGUUGUUUUAUACUUCCUGCUGCCUUUCUACUUUGUACAUUUGAUAAUUUAUUUUGAUUGAACUGUGUAGGUAGGCAGUCAGAGGAGCUUUAAUUUUACAAUCAAAGAUCAUCUUCAGCUGGGGAAGGAACUUGAUUUGUUUGACUUUGAUGCAGCAGCCGAGGUAUUAAUUGCGACAACUUUCACUAACACUAUAUACAUUUUAUGUUUGGCAACACACUGCAGCAAGUUGUUCAGUAAGAUAUUUCGGAUACACCUAAAAAUUCAAACUGCAUGAUGUCAAGUAAAUAAAAAACUCGACCAUGGAUGACGUCAAUUAAAUAGAUCUAAAAUUCUCUGAAAACUUAUCUAAGUAAAUUUGCCUUGUCUUAGUGAAAGGGUCUGUAGUCUAGUGGCACAAUAACCUUAGUAACCUGGGUGUGACUCCCCUGUGGGAGUGAAUUUAAACAGGCUUGGGUUAGAAAUACCCUUUGUUGGCUGUGUUCCUGAGCUAUAUGUGUAACCAUUUGAGUCGUUUUCAGUGAGAUACAAAAUGGCCACAGACAUGUGUCCUGGGCGCUCAGUGGCAUGUCCAAGGCAGCCGACCUUUGGGGUGUUUUUACACCUAUGUUUGUUCUUAAUGCAAUGCCGUGGGGGUUUCCCUCAUGUAUCGAUUUUUUGCUUUUAAGUUUCUAUAUAAGUAGAUUUGUUAUUUAGUAUUUGUAAUAAAUGUUUGUACUGUGUUGCACAGGUCAGUGGUUCGAAGUUCUACUACUUAAAGAAUGAAGCUGUUUUGUUGGAGAUGGCCCUAGUGAAUUGGGCUAUUUCAGAGGUCUCCAAGAAGGGUUUCACACCACUCAUAACUCCAGAGAUUGUAAGAUCAUCUGUUGUUGAGAAAUGUGGCUUCCAGCCAAGGGCUCAAAACACUCAGGUAUGAACUCUCCUGGUAAGGAUGGUAUUUAACAUUUAGUUAUUUUGUAUCAUAAAAUACAUGAUAAUAGCCAUUUUAACACAUUCUUUGGUCUAGUGACUUGUUUUUAUUCUUACAUUAUGUUUGCAUUAUCAGCUAUUUGGUAUUUUGGAUUAGACCCUGGAAUCACAACAUAGUUUCUGUUUUGGGCAUUGAUGGAGUCGUUGAAACAUAAUGCUAGCCACUAUUUCUAUUUUAAUAUAUGUAUUAAAAAUGACGGUGAAGUUAUAUUAUUAUGAAAAUGAAAUUACCAUUUGAGAUAAAUAUAUUCAUAUAAUCCAAAAAGAUAUCAUACCCAAAUUUUAGAAAAUUUGACCACAUGCGACCCAAAAAUUUCAACCUUGCCUGACUAAAAUAUUUGAUUGCCCGUGAUACGUUGCUGUGGUAUUAUAUGCUGUUCCAUUUAACCAUUUCAGUUCCUUCUAGGUUCCAGAUACAUUUUUAGGUGUUAUUGUUUGACGUGUACUAACAUGAUUGCUUGCACUUUGCUCUGCAGGUCUACUCAAUUGAGGACAGUGAUCAGUGUCUCAUAGGCACUGCUGAAAUUCCUGUUGGAGGCAUCCACAUGGACUCAAUACUUGCUGAAUCUGCUUUGCCUUUAAAAUAUGUAGCAUAUUCACACUGUUUUCGCACGGAAGCUGGUGCAGCAGGUGCUGCCACUAGGUUGGUCUGUUCUCCUUUUACCUUAGGUUACUGUUUUGCUUAUUGAUUUAUGAUGAAGAUUUACCAUUGUACGAGUGUAUAUUUGCUUCUAUUUUUCGGAUGCUUCAAAACUGUGAUAAAAGCAAAUUUUCACAUCCUCUGCAUUGCGAUUAAUUUUACAGUGUGUUUGUUAAGUUGCUAAAUUUAUCAUUUUAUUAUGAACAGGGGCCUCUAUCGGGUACAUCAAUUUAGCAAGGUUGAAAUGUUCAUAUUCUGUCGGCCAGAUGAAAGUGACAAAUUGCAUGAAGAACUUAUUACAAUCGAAGAGGAUCUUUAUGCAUCACUCGGACUCCAUUUCAAGUGCUUCCUAUUCCUUUUAAUUUCUGUGCCAUGCCCAUUUUUGAGACGAAAUUCCAUGCCACAGCUGUACUAAUGCCAGUGCCAACGUUCCCCUUUUAUAGAACUCUGGAUAUGGCAACCGGGGAUCUGGGCGCACCAGCCUACCGAAAAUUUGACAUCGAGGCAUGGAUGCCAGGCCUAGAGCGAUACGGUGAGGUAAGGGGCAAGUUUACCAAGCUUGUAUACGUCUUCUCAACAUUUCCUUGAAUCAUGCUGAUGAUUCCUGAUCAAACUUUGCAGAUCUCCAGUGCAUCAAAUUGUACAGACUACCAAAGUAGGCGACUUGGCAUCCGUUACCGUCCAUCACCCUCGGAGCCUCCGUCAACGAACACCAAGAAAGGGAAGGGAGCUGGCUCAGGCCCUACACAGUUUGUUCACACGCUCAACGCAACAGCAGUGGCGGUGCCUCGUCUGAUAGUCUGCAUUCUAGAGAAUUUUCAGCAGGACGAUGGGUCGAUUGUGGUUCCAGAGCCACUAAGACCCUAUAUGGGUGGACUUGAGGUGAUCUCCCCAAAAUUCGAGUGACCCUCUACAGUCACCCACGGUUGUGCUUGUGGACUUAGAGCUGUCUACAAAUAUACACUACUGAGUUUUGUGAUUGGGGCUCCUGUUUCAUAACUAGUCUUAUCCCCCCCCCCUGUUUUUGAAUAGCACUCUAAUCUGCUGGUGCACAUUAUAUUGGCCAACUACUGUAAUCUGCAUAGCACUACAAACUCAUGUGCAUGAUUUAGCUUUGAGUAAAUUGCACUAUAGGUCCUUAAACUUUCGAUGAACUCCCAUCUAGGUCCUCGAACUAAAAAAGAUAUCAUCUGGGACCUGAAACAAUCUAUCUUUCGCACCAAUGAUCCAAACCAUGCCACGUGCGCGUCGUGAGCUGACGUGGACAUGCCACUAUGAAGACAAGACUCUGGAGACUCGGGCCUGUUGCCCACUUUGCAAGGCUCCAUCUCUCUAUCUCACUCCUAAGCUCUCGUCUCUCCUCCUGUGCGUGCAGGAGGCUGUCAGUUUGGGCUCUGAUGCGGAAGCGUGCUGGCCACCCGCUGCCGUGCUCUACUCGGGCCUACCAGAACACACAAGUGGCAGAGUUUGUGGCCGCAGCUGCUGGCUUCGCAGUGGUGGCUUGAAGUGCUUGUGGUCAAAGUUCGGUAGUAGGGUCACGGCGGUGCUCGCUAGGGAGGCAGCGUUGAGGAGGGCCACAGGGUGCACUGUUGUGCCAAGGAUGAAGGAAGUGUGCUCUCGGACUUGAACAUCGGGAAAGGCAGCAGCAGCUUCAACGCAGAUCCGGCCGACACAGUUCCUCAACAAAUCGACGCGGUAGGGAAGAUUAGGGGGGGGGGGGGGGGGACGACAUGGACGACAAAUCCAUGCUAGAACGGUUUGGGUGCUUUAAAACCAUCCCCGGAGCAGAGCGCUAUGCGAGCCCGUCCUAGCCAUGGUAGGGGCCGACGAGGCGAGGUGCUCUUGCGCGCCAUAGGUGCUGGACAAAGCAUAUGGUAACCAUGACUUUCUUAAAACAAGAUACUAUAGAUGCAAGUACUCAACUUCACGCACAUACAGUCACAUCUAUAUAUCUUACAAACGCCCACCCACGGAACAAAAUGAGAACAUUCAAGAGGUCGGCUGGCACAUCUUGAUAUUGACAAUGUAAUGUGGUAUUAUCUACGUAUUAAUCAAGUAUUUGGAUGUAGUUAUGGUUCAUUUUUUAAUUGAUUAUAUGCAAAGAAGAAAAUUACAAAAUAGACUCAGAUAAACCUCAAUCAAUGUAUUGAUUAUUUUUGGGAAGUUGCACACACUGAUACAAGAACAUUAUUAUCAAGUACAACUCUUCUGUAUUCUAGAAGAUGGCACCUCCAAUGAUGGGUUGCUGCCACAACAAGGAAGGGUUCAUGAAAGACAUCUGGUUGAAUGGCAGCAAUUGUUGUUGCUGUAGGAAGGUGGCCGCCAAUGGGUUAGCCAGUGCCAAUGGGUUAACCUGUAGCAGCUGUUGUUGCUGGUGGUAGGUGGCAGCGGUUGCAACAGCCGACUGAGCAAAUGGAAGUGACUGUGGCUGUUGUAGGUAUGCAGCGGCGUUCGACACAGCUAGUUGGUUGAAUGGAAGUAGCUGUUGCUGUUGAAAGUAGGCGAUAGGGUUCACCACGGACUGUUGUAACUGUUGUUGUUGUUGUAGGUAUGCAAUGGCAUUCACCGCAGCCAGUGGGUUUGUAGGAAGUAGCUGUUGCAGCUGCAAGUAGGUGGCAGGGUUUGGAAUAGCUAGUUGACUGAGCGCUGGUAGGAACUGUUGUUGUUGUAGUUGCGCUACAAUGGUCUGUACUAGUAGGUGAGCCGAGGAUUGCUGUUGCAAUUGGGCAAUUGAUUGUUGUAAGAUGCUCGCCGCGAGCACUUGUUGUAGCCGAUAGGCCUGCACAACUGGGUGUUCAUACCCAACAGCAGUAACUGGUGAGCACUGCGGAAUGAUGAACGCACUUGUAGCACUCACCGUGAGAGCAAGGAGUGCAAGGAGGGCAAAUAUCUUGGCAGCCAUUGUUUCUAAGAUGUUGCUAGUGCGUUUCACUUGGCAACUUUCUAAUUGCUCUCAAUGAUAUGGGUGGUGGAUUAGCUAUCGAUUUGGGCCAAUUUAUACAAGUGAGAGUUCAUGCAUAUCUAUUCAGAUCUCGGAGUUUACUAAAAAAUAGAUGAGCAUGAGAUGACAUGGCACCUAGUCAACUUCGGUGCUUAGUUAUCUAUUUUGUUGGAUUAUAUGGUAUGUGUUGGCAAGAUAGUGUCGAUUAUGUGCUAGGAAAAAGUGCCCUUUUCUAUAGGAGUUCUCUAGAUACACGAGGAAUGGCAUACAUGAUAACUUCACCUUUAUGCAUGACAAAGCCUUAGCCACAUCAUAUUUGUUAGACUUUAUAAACAUGAUGAGUAUGUAAAAUUAUGAUUUGCUCAUGUGAAUCGAAGCCUUUAUCAACAGAGUUUGUUGUAGCAUCGUCCUUAUGGUUGAAGUAUACAAUGUAAUUAUGUGAGAAGUUAUCAACCAGCGAAUGAUCAAUAAUGCUGCAAGGCCACGACUCAUUGAAGUCUCAGUAUGUCUAAAAUGCAUGCGCAUGCAAAGAAUCUAAAAAAUUGGCAUGCGCAUGCUCAUUACUAUCUUGGCCACUACCACAUACUCCCUUUGUUCUGGAGCACAAUUUAGUUUAUUUUUGUGUAAAAGCAAGCUUGUCUAACUUUGAAAAAGUUUUACAUUAGUUUUAACAACAAAAAUGCACUAUCAAGACAUAAUGACAUAUGCAACGAAACAAAGUGAUGUUCAAGGUUUUUGGUAAAUUUCUAUGAAAUAUGUCAAAGUUAGGUAAGAUUACCUUAGGGAAAAGAUAGAGCAAGUAAUAAAUUGGAGCGGAGGAGGUAUAUGUUGAACUCUACCUCUUGACUCAAAUAGAUGUGCAUCUAAUUUUCACUAAAGUCAAACUUAAAUUAUUUCCAUAUAGUAAGGAGAAUGAUAAAUUUGAUGCGGCUUUUGUUCCUUCCACCACCUAUGAUAUGAAUCUGCCUUCAAUAUACAGGUGAAGAGGAUAAUAGCCAACCUCGUAGCUAUUCGAAACAAAUAUCUCUUUGUGCUCAAAGGCAUAGAUCCAUUCAAGAAUAAAAACAACAUGGCCAUUGACAUAAACCUUGCUCAGCUAUGCUACAAAAACUCAAGAUAAAGGAGACUGAGAUGGGUGUUGUGUUGAUUUUUUAGGAGAAACACUAUAACAUCUGGACUUGGAAGUUUCAUGAAAACACACUCCUUCAUAUUCGUUUUCACUAGAACAAUGAGCACAUUGGUACACAUAAUUAAUUCCUUGGAGUUGACUCAAAUAUAUUUUAGAUUUUGUUUCACAUGAGUAGAAUCUCGUCCGAAAGAAUUUGGGGAACAUUGGGAUAAUAACCGUAAUCGCUAGGACUAGACAACAAGUUUAGGCUAAGGAAAUCUAAAAUGGCUGAAGACAUUUAAAAAUAAUAACUUCUAUUGACACAAAAUUAGAGUGAGACCAAUAAAAUCUUCAUGGCUUGAUUUACUAUUCCUUGUUCAUUUAUAAAGGAAUGUAUUUCAUGUUUCUACAAUAAUUUGCUUUAUGGGUGCUCACAUAGAUAUGAUAAGAUAUCUUUUCAACUUUUAUAUGACAUGCGAGUUAAGGUUACAUUGAUGACAGUGUUACAAACUACCUCUAGUAAACUAUCUUGUAGGUAAUAAACUUGUUCAUUUGUUUAGUUUUAACAUUUUAGAACAUGAACGUUUUCACAUUCAACACAUAGAUGCAAACUGCAAUCCAUUGAACUAAUCUAGGUGUCAUAAUGGCACUCUAUGUGGGUUCUCUCUGCAGAACAGCAGAAUGACGGUGGAUGGUUGGUACUUUAAUCUCGGGACAUUACUUUUGGGUUUUGAUAGCUCCACUCUAAAUCAUAUUUUACUAGGUACGGUGUCCAUCAGAAAAGAUCCUAUCUUUCAUAAUGCUACCUAGCAAAAAUGUGAGCUACAAUGUUGAGCAGUCAAUUUGACGUAGGUUUGAUGUCCCUCUGUAAAAUUGUCUCUGGCAUAUUCUUGGGAUAUUAAACUUCACGUUCAUGAUAAUUUUUUUUGGCAUCAAGUAUUAUACUUUGUUGUUAAUUGUUAAUGAUAGGGUCUAGUUGAUUUAAUGCCCUUGGCCUUGUCAAGUUCGUGGGCUCCAAUUAUUUCCUUAUUUUUCUACAAUAUUAUGGAGUCUUGCAUAAUUUUGCUCCAAGAUAAAAACAUAUGCACCAAAUAUUUACUAGAAACAAUAAUUAAGAGGUGUGACUUUGCAUAUCAACUUUGCACGCAUAUAUACGUUUACUCAUGAAUUUCUAUUAUGUUUUCCUUUGUGUACAUGUAUCUGACUUCAAAGAUAUUCGUCAAAGCAUAUGUGGCCAUGACUUUCUUAAAACAAGAUAUUGUAGAUGCAAGUACUCAACUCCACGCAAGUACUCAACUCCACGCAAGUACUCAACUCCACGCACAUACAGUCACAUCUAUAUAUCUCACAAACACCCACACACAGUACCAAAUGAGAAAAUUCAAGGGGGUUGGCUGGCACAUCUUGAUAUUGACAAUGUAAUGUCGUAUUGUCUACGUAUUAAUCAAGCAUUUGGCUGUAAUUAUGGUUCAUUUUUUAAUUGAUUAUAUACAAAGAAGAAAAUUACGGAAUAGACUCAGAUAAAUCUCAAUCAAUGUAUUGAUUAUUUGUGAGAAGUUGCACACGCUGAUACAAGAACAUUGUUAUCAAGUACAACUCUUUUGUAUUCUAGAAGAUGGCACCUCCAACGAUGGGUUGCUGCCACAACAAGGAAGGGUUCUUAAAAGACAUCUGGUUGAAUGGCAGCAAUUGUUGUUGCUGCAGGAAGGCGGCAGCCAAUGGGUUAGCCAGUGCCAAUGGGUUAACCGGUAGCAGCUGCUGUUGCUGGUGGUAGGUGGCAGCGGUUGCAACAGCCGACUGGGCAAAUGGAAGCGGUUGUGGCUGUUGCAGGUAUGCAGCGGUGUUCGGCACAGCUAGUUGGUUGAAUGGAAGUAGCUGUUGCUGUUGUAAGUAGGCGGCAGGGUUUGCCACGACUAGUUGACUGAGCGCUGGCAGGAUCUGUUGUAACUGUUGUUGUUGUGGUAGGUAUGCAAUGGCAUUCGACGCAGCCAAUGGGUUUGUAGGAAGUAGUUGUUGCAGCUGCAAGUAGGCGGUAGGGUUCGGAAUAGCUAGUUGACUGAGCACUGGUAGGAACUGUCGUUGUUGUCGUUGCGCUACAAUGGUCUGUUCUAGUAGGUGAGCCGAGGAUUGCUGUUGCAAUUGGGCAAUUGGUUGUUGUAAGAUGCUCGCCGCGAGCACCUGUUGUAGCCGAUAGGCCUGCACAACUGGGUGUUCAUACCCCGUAGCAGUAAUCGGUGAGCACUGCGGAAUGAUGAACGCAGUUGUAGCACUCACUAAGAGAGCAAGGAGUGCAAGGAGGGCAAAUAUCUUGGCAGCCAUUAUUUGCUAGUGCGUUUCACUUGGCUUGUUUCUGAUUGCUCUCAA
rnacentral:lncRNA from 1 species